CACGUAGGGCGCAAGCGUUGUCCGGAAUUAUUGGGCGUAAAGAGCUCGUAGGCGGUCUGUUACGUCUGCUGUGAAAACCCAGGGCUUAACCCUGGGCUUGCAGUGGAUACGGGCAGACUAGAGGCAGGUAGGGGAGAAUGGAAUUCCCGGUGUAGCGGUGAAAUGCGCAGAUAUCGGGAGGAACACCGGUGGCGAAGGCGGUUCUCUGGGACGUAACUGACGCUGAGACGCGAAAGCGUGGGGAGCAAACAGG
rnacentral:rRNA from 1 species